rnacentral:siRNA from 1 species
UUGUACGCCGCAAGUUUACCGC